rnacentral:lncRNA from 1 species
AUUAAUAAAGAACUCCAAUUUUCAAUAAUUUUAAAAUGAUUUUUCUAAUUCAUUGCCAAUUAAAAAAUAGAAUAAUACAUUAAUAUUGCAUAAAAUUUUGUGGUUAUUACAUAAAUAAAAAUAACGUAUUAUUACCUUGUAUAGAAGCAUCAGAAAAUGAUGAUGUUUCAUCAGAAUUCAACGUUUCACUUUCGUGAUUUUCUAAGAAAUGUUGUGCAAGAAAAUCGUAAUUUUCAUUACACAAAUUACACAUCGAACACUGAUAAACCGUUGCGAGUUUUGCGACGCCAUUUUUUAUCUCUGCGUUCUCUGAAAUACUCAAAUCUCGAACUGGAGAACGGAGAGAUCGCUAGAGUGCGCUCAGAGAAUUUUUUGAAUGCUAUAUGAGAGAUUUCUUGAACAUUCCUUCAUUUUUUGAACGGUUAGAAAUCUCUCAAAGUCUUCUCGGAGAAUUUUUGAACGCGCCCUAGGAUCAGCAACGACAACGGCAACAGAAAAACAGUUACGGAUACACCACAAAUUCCGCCACGGGAACAGCAACAGAUACGUAUAUAAAUACUUCUCUUUCUCCCCUCCCUGGAGAAAGAUGAGUAUCCUUAUCGUUUCGUUAUUCUGACUGACAUUUCAAUUUGAAUCA